UACAGAGGGUGCAAGCGUUGUUCGGAAUUAUUGGGCGUAAAGGGAGUGUAGGCGGUUCGUUAAGUCUUCUGUGAAAUCUACGGGCUUAGCCUGUAACGUGCAGAGGAAACUAGCGGGCUUGAGUGUCGGAGAGGAUAGGGGAAUACCCAGUGUAGAGGUGAAAUUCGUAGAGAUUGGAUGGAACACCAGUGGCGAAGGCGCCUAUCUGGCUGACAACUGACGCUGAGACUCGAAAGCAUGGGGAGCAAACAGG
rnacentral:rRNA from 1 species